rnacentral:rRNA from 1 species
UACGUAGGUGGCAAGCGUUGUUCGGAAUUAUUGGGCGUAAAGGGCGCGUAGGCGGUUUGUUAAGUCGGUCGUGAAAGCCCGGGGCUCAACCCCGGAGGGUCGACCGAUACUGGCAGACUAGAGUACAGAAGAGGUAACUGGAAUUCCCGGUGUAGCGGUGAAAUGCGUAGAUAUCAGGAGGAACACCGAUGGCGAAGGCAGGUCUCUGGGCUGAAACUGACGCUCAUGCACGAAAGCGUGGGGAGCAAACAGG